rnacentral:rRNA from 1 species
CCAAGUCGUGAUACUUCGGGAACUGAAGGUAAUAACGGAUAGAAGAUUUUUUCUGGAACGAUUGAUCUUUGAAAGUUUGCGUUAGGAUGGGGCUGCGGCUGAUUAGGUAGUUGGCGGGGUAAAUGCCCACCAAGCCGAUGAUCAGUAAGGGCUCUUAGCGGAGAAGCCCUGAGAGGGAAUCUGAGACACUAUUCCCAGCCUUACGGGGUGCAGCAGCCGGGAAACUUUUGCAAUACACGAAAGUGUGACAAAGCAAACCAGAGUGAUUCUCUAUAAUUGAGAAUCUUUUGCGGCAUGUAAAAAGUGCCGAGAAUAAGGACCGGGCAAGACUGGUGCCAGCCGCCGCGGUAAUCCCAGCGGUCCAAGUCGCAGCCACAAUUGUUGGGUCUAAAACAUCCGUAGCUUGCUUUGCAAGUCCUUUGUCAAAUCGGGCCUCUUAAGGGUCCGGCGAGCAAAGGAUACUGCUUAGCUAGAGACCGGGAGGCGUAGGAAGUACAGAUUGAGUAGCGGUAAAAUGUGUUGAUCCUUUCUGGACUAACAGUCGCGAAGGCGUCCUGCGAGAACGGUUCUGACAGUGAGGGAUGAAGGCUAGGGGCGCAAAGUGGAUUAGAUACCCAUGUAGUCCUAGCAGUAAACCCUGCACACUAAACAUUGGUACCUCCUCGAGAGGUAUCAGUGCUGAAGAGAAGUCGGAGAGUGUGCUACCUGGGAAGUAUAGUCGCAAGGCCGAAACUUAAAGGAAUUGGCGGGGGAGCAC